UGGAUCUCGAUGGCCGCCGCCGCCGCGCCGUCGGACCGUCUCUCCGAUCUCCCCGACGACCUGCUCAUCCACGUCCUCUCCUUCGCGCCCUCCCGCGAGGCCGCCCGCACCACCGCCCUCUCCCGCCGAUGGCGCCGCCCGCUCCCGCUCUGGCUCCACACCGCCGCCCUCAACCUCGACUACCGCUCCUACACCACCACCACCACCCCCGGCGGCGUCCCAGUCCGGUGGCGCGCCAUGGACCACGCCGACCACGCGAUCGCCUUCCAAAACUCCGUCGGCCGCGGCCCGAAGAAGGUGGCCGUCGUCAUGCGCGAUGGCACCAUGCACGACGACAUCCUGUCCGCCGCUUGCAGCAGGGACGAGGAUGACGAGGACGAGGAUGACGAGGAUGAGGAUGACGAGGAUGAGGUGGAGGACGAUUCCGGCGUGGAGGAGCUCAGACUCGAGUGCCUGGACUACGGCGGCCCGCAGCACUGCACGCACGCCGCCCUGUCGCAGUGGUCGUACCACGGCCUCUCCCUGUGCUCGCUGCCGUUCGCCGCGCUCCGGACUCUCGAGCUCACCGGUUGCAAGCUCAAGGGCCGACGGCGCAUCCUCGACUUCCCGUGCCUGGAGGCGGUGCGGCUGCGGCGGUGCAUCGUCAAUCUCGACACGCUCCAGAACAUGGUCGACGCCGCGCCAAGGCUCUCCGACCUCCGUCUCGACGCCCUGAUCUUCGUGCCCGACCGCCCCCUCUACAGCUUCCGCUGCCCGGCGGUCACCGUCCUCGCCAUGGCCAACUGCCACGAGUUCACCGAAACCGGCAUGUACUCCGGCGGGUAC
rnacentral:rRNA from 1 species